GGCCAUGCUCAAAUUUUGUGAGUAGAGGCAUUUGGUACACAGGGCUAAGAUGGACACAACCCAGCUUUCUCUCAUCAGGCAUCAUUUCCUUUCGUUUUCUUUGAGAUGCCCUGUGAUUGUUCCUGUCUGAUCACAUUCCCCACUCUCCUUGCCCUGAAGCUAACAUCUUUGCACUGGCUGGAGUAAGCCCAAAGGUUGUUAAACACUGGUUUGGCCACUGGGUUUUGCUACAGGAAUGAAAGUGGAUGAAUGCCUCGUGCUGAUCCACACCUUGAGAAAUUGAAUUCCUUUCCCAAGAGGCCAAUAAGCACCCUUAGACAGCAGUGCUUGAGAAGCAGCUGCCAUGGUGUGGAGCAGAGCUUUCUGAUGAGGAUCCUAUACCACUAAAAGGUUCCAGCAAGGUAAGUCCCAACACUA
rnacentral:lncRNA from 1 species